CCAGACUCCUACGGGAGGCAGCAGUGGGGAAUAUUGCACAAUGGGGGGAACCCUGAUGCAGCGACGCCGCGUGGGCGAGGAAGUAUUUCGGUAUGUAAAGCCCUAUCGGCAGGGAAGAAGAAAUGACGGUACCUGAAUAAGAAGCACCGGCUAAAUACGUGCCAGCAGCCGCGGUAAUACGUAUGGUGCAAGCGUUAUCCGGAUUCACUGGGUGUAAAGGGAGCGUAGACGGCGGCGCAAGUCUGGAGUGAAAGCCCGGGGCCCAACCCCGGGACUGCUCUGGAAACUGCGGCGCUGGAGUGCGGGAGGGGCAGGCGGAAUUCCUGGUGUAGCGGUGAAAUGCGUAGAUAUCAGGAGGAACACCGGCGGCGAAGGCGGCCUGCUGGACCGUGACUGACGUUGAGGCUCGAGAGCGUGGGGAGCAAACAGGAUUAGAUACCCGCGUAG
rnacentral:rRNA from 1 species